UACAGAGGAGCCAAGCGUUGUCCGGAUUGACUGGGCGUAACGCGCACGCAGGCGGACGCGCGCGUGGGGUGUGAAAUCUGGCCGCUUAACGGCCAGGCGCCAUCCCAUACGGCACGACUGGAGGGCUGCAGAGGUCGAUGGAAUUGCCGGUGUAGUGGUGAAAUGCGUAGAGAUCGGCAGGAACACCCAGGGGGAACCCAGUCGACUGGGCAGCACCUGACGCUGAGGUGCGAGAGCGUGGGGAGCGAACCGG
rnacentral:rRNA from 1 species